UGGGGGAAUUUUUUGGCGCAAUGGGGGGCAACCCUGACGCAGCAACGCCGCGUGCGGGACGAAGGCCCUAGGGUUGUAAACCGCUUUCAGCAGGGAAGACACUGACGGUACCUGCAGAAGAAGCUCCGGCUAACUACGUGCCAGCAGCCGCGGUAAUACGUAGGGAGCGAGCGUUAUCCGGAUUCAUUGGGCGUAAAGCGCGCGUAGGCGGCUCGCCAAGCGGGAUGUCAAAGCCCGGGGCUCAACCCCGGCCCGCAUCCCGAACUGGUGGGCUUGAGUUCGGUAGGGGAAAGUGGAAUGCCCAGUGUAGCGGUGAAAUGCGCAGAUAG
rnacentral:rRNA from 1 species